UAUUUUUUAUUAUGAUUCCCUUCCGGAGAGCCGCCCCGACUGAGCUAAAAGGAAAGGGGCCACCCCAGAGCGGUAGCUGGAGGGGGCGUGAGGGAAAAGUGCCCCCCCCGCCCUCGGUGCUGGUUUUUGUCGUCUGUGAGCAUUGAGCGAUUUCUGUGGCGUUUCCAAAGAGCACGUGGUGAGGGAUUUGUUGGGUUUGAGGUGGUGUCUGUGGGGCUCGCUGAGGUGUUGCUGCUCGCUCCCUCCUGCUCCUGGCUGGCCAGAGGAUGGGUGCCCCUCCUGAGGGGAGCAGGGCUCCCAGGGCUUUGCUCCAGAGGAAGCGCAGGCGAAUCUCGUUUUCUUCAGCAACGACAAAACGCUGAAAGGCAGUCGGUUAAACAGGAUCGCAUCUGCCAUGUGUAAUACCUGACACUGUGUGAGGACAACAGCAGUGUUGCUUCGAGUGUAACUGCUGUGAGGUGCGGCCCACAGUCCCGCUUUGCAGUGUACAACCAUGCACACGAGUCUUCAUACAGCUUGCAUCCCUACAAGAUCCAAGAGCCUUCCAGAAAUACAUUACGUAAUGUGACUGUCACUUCUGUCACACGUGGUUCAUUUUUUCUCCUUUCCUAAAGUAUUGCUUAGGUUGGAUAUUUUUGUUUUUAUACUGAAACAAAUAGGUGU